AAGCCAGUCGGUGAAUCUGCUUACCUGGAUGUGUUUGCAGAAAUUUAGAAAAAACUGGCAAUAGCACAGCCAUGUUACGAGCCUUAAAGACACUGUAGUCAUUAAGGUCCCUGAAAGUGGCUACAAGA